AGGGGCGGCCGUGACGCUGCCGCCUUCCCCUCGUUACCUUUGUGCUCGUCAUCCAGGAUUCUAGAGAAGCCUUUGUGUGAAGCAAUACUCCCCUUCCAUCUUUAUGUCCUUUUGAAGAACUCCAGAGCCAACUAUAUUGUUAACUGUAUCUUAGAGGAUCUUUGCUUUGACAGCUGGUAAGGUGGUUUAUGUCAGAACACAAUAACUGAGCUUACAGUGGAUGUACUGUAGAUAAUACCUGAAGUUUCAGAUACUGUUUACCUUUUUGUAAAAGCUGCAGCAAUUUUUAAGAAAGUCAUCGCAUGGUUACUGCUUGAAAAAUAUGUCACAUUAUGGGCAAAUCACUUGAAGAUAAAUUUUAAGCUAUUAUGAUGUAAAAUGUAUUUAUGUUCUUUUCUUUUUUAGUAUUUUAUAAUUAACUAUGUCAUGCUGAGAUCUACUGAAUAUAUUUCAUUCUAAGAAAUGACUCACAUUCAUUUUCACCCCAUAUGGGGAAGAUACUGGGGACUUUUUUGAUCUUCUGUUCAGUUUCAUUAGAUUAGGAUAUAUUUUACAUUCUAACCUUAACUGUAUUUUCCUGCAUUCUUUACCCUCUGCAUAUUGAUGCAAUUAACAGUAUGAUAAGCUGAGCAAGCAUUUUCACUGAAAGCUUAUCUAUCAUAUAGAACUCUUGUCAUAUCAAAGAAUCUGAGUGACCUUGUGACCUGAAUUUCCAGGGUGGAACAAAAGGUUAAAUACUCACCGUCUUCAUGUCUCACAUGGAUACAAGAUACGGAUACAGAUGGUUUGGCAUCUACGUAAGCUAAGGACUCCUAUGUUUUGUCAAAAUGGUUUUAUCAUAACCCAUCUUCUACUUAACCACCUCAUUUAAGUCAUUUGUCUAUGUAAGAAAGCAAGAUCCUUAAGAUCAAGAGCAAUGAACCUAGUAACUGGUAUGUGAAAAUAAAAGCAAAAUACAUACUGAAUGGCUAGUAUUUUAUGUACCUAGGCACACACUGAAAACAGAGUUAUUCAUCAAUACCGGUAAACAACCAUUUCCAGCACAACAAUUUUCAGAUUUCUGGUUUCUUAACAUUCUUUAAAGGCAUGUUUUUGUAGUUCUUCAAAAUCAGAAUCUCAUCUAGGAAUCAGUUUUUGCAGUUUGUGAAAAUUAGUCAUCAAUUAAAGAAAAAUUAUCUACAAAAAUUAGCCUGUCUUCAGAGUCAUGGUUAACAUUUCUUUAUAGAUAGUAUCGUUUUGUGUAUGUCACUUUGUCUGGAAGAUGAAACUACAUUCCAGUUACCUUAUGCCCUGUGAAGUAUGUUUUAUUUGCUAAGCGCAACACAGCAAAUUGUGUCUUCUCAGCCCUACUGGCAAAAAAAAGUUUAUAUAUUUAAGCACUUCAGUAAAGUGGAAGACUUAAAAAAAACCUAAACCAGGUUUCCAAGCCAGAUUGUGAGGCUAAUAUUGCCCACAAUUGCCUACUUCAGAAAUGGCCCAUAACUUUCAGAACUUUAUAGUAUUUGUACUGUUUCAAUGCCAUACCUGAAGAAAAAAAAAAAUAAUAAAAAGUAUAUGGUUUCCUUCAUCGAAGUCUUUCAAACAUGCCAUUUUCCUGUGGUAUAUGCAGCUAACAAUAGGUGGAAGAAGUAAAAAUAUGAACAAGAAUGGGAUGCUUCCAUGUUCUGAAGUAGUAUGUUAAAAUUGUUUAGUGAAAGAAAUUCCCAAGGUGUUCAGCAGAGCUAGUAAACUCCGCACUGGAAUACACAUUUAAUACAGUUGGGUAUAUUAAGACAGUUCUUGAUGUUACUCUUAAUCCAUGUAUUAAUCUAAUCUACAUAAAGUAGGGAUUCUGUGUUUUGUUUAAAAUGCUUUCAUCAUAACCUUUUUUCUGUUUGAACACACCAGUGUAAUUAGGAUUUGUAUUUCUUCCAAGAGAGAUGCAGAAUACCUGGGGCAUCUUUCUUCUCCCUUAUCCUGCACCCUCUGUCAGGAAAGCUCAAGGGAGACAUGCUGUACUUCUUUGAAUUCAUGCAUCUCUGACAGAGCAGGACUAAAAUUGACAGUCCCUCCAGUAGCCACUUCACAGGAACAUAACAAUACUGUAAAGCUUUUGUAGUCUUGAUAUCACCACAGCAUCUGGUUCCUCAGUUAUGUGAGCCUUGUCAGUGUAGUUUCAGUUCAGCUGCGCAUUUUAGGAUGGGGCAGAAACAGCAUGAAACAUCUGAGGAUAUGUCACUGCUUUGAUUCUGCAAUGAGAUUUUUAGUAAAAUUUCUAGUGCAACCAGUAGCUCUUUAGCCUGGAAAAUGAGGAGCAGGAAUCUGACCCAACAGAAAUCUACAUCCAUGUGUAUGUUUGCAUUAUACUCAAGCCACCUCGUAGUAACAGAUUUCAGUUAAAGGGAAUGUCAUUUAAAGAAAACAGGAUUUAUUUUUUUUUCCAUGACGUAAAUUAAAUUGUGCUGCAUUAGAAAUAUUUUUAAAAGAAGUAGUUUUACUACUCUUCAUAUGUUAAACCUAUGGCAUUUCUUAACAUGGAGUUACUAAAACACAUCAAUGUACAGCCGUAUUUCCUGGUGGUUGCCUGUGUUCCCAUUUUUCAGAAUUCAACCUGAUAUGUUUUAAGUAUGAUUUUUCAGAGGUGAUGAGAACCUGCUACCUCUACUGAGCUUAGUUACAGCCGUAAGUAGUCAUGAAAAUCCACUGUGUCUUGCAUUAGGUACGUAAGAAAAAAAUUAGUAUGUCUGAAACUUCUGGCAACAUCUGAGUGCCACAGAUGUUACAUCAAAUAUUGUGAACAUCUGAAAUAAAUAAGCAGAAUGUAUGGACCAUCAAACAGAAGUAUAAUGUUAAAAAUGGAAGUGUAUUCAGUAUUUGUAUUCAUUUCUUCACCCUUUUAGCAGAACAUAGUUGUGCUCUAAUAAAAUCUUACUUGCUCAUA